GGGCCCGCACAAGCGGUGGAGCAUGUGGUUUAAUUCGAUGAUACGCGAGGAACCUUACCAGGACUUAAAUGUAAGUUGCAUGAUUCAGAAAUGAAUCUUUCUUCGGACUACUUACAAGGUGCUGCAUGGUUGUCGUCAGCUCGUGCCGUGAGGUGUCAGGGUUAAGUCCUAUAACGAGCGCAACCCCCUAUCGUUUAGUUGCCAGCAGUUCGGCUGGGCACUCUAUGGAAACUGCCCGUGAUAAGCGGGAGGAAGGUGUGGAUGACGUCAAGUCCUCAUGGCCCUUACGGGUUGGGCUACACACGUGCUACAAUGGUAGUGACAAUGGGU
rnacentral:rRNA from 1 species